UGGGGAAUCUUGCGCAAUGGGGGAAACCCUGACGCAGCGACGCCGCGUGCGGGAUGAAGGCCUUCGGGUUGUAAACCGCUUUCAGCAGGGACGAGGCCUUAUGGUGACGGUACCUGCAGAAGAAGCUCCGGCUAAAUACGUGCCAGCAGCCGCGGUAAUACGUAUGGAGCAAGCGUUAUCCGGAUUCAUUGGGCGUAAAGCGCUCGUAGGCGGUCUGUUGGGUCGGCAAGUUAAAUCCGGGGGCUCAACCCCCGUCCGCUUCCGAUACCGGCAGACUUGAGUUUGGUAGGGGAAGGUGGAAUUCCUAGUGUAGCGGUGGAAUGCGCAGAUAUUAGGAAGAACACCGGUGGCGAAGGCGGCCUUCUGGGCCAUAACUGACGCUGAGGAGCGAAAGCUAGGGGAGCGAACAGG
rnacentral:rRNA from 1 species